rnacentral:tRNA from 1 species
GGAAGUGUGCCUGAAAGAUAAGGACCUCCUUGAUAGGGAGGAUAAUAGGGG